CACGUGUUCUGCUUCUUCAUCUUUUACUCCGUAUUAACACUGAGGUUGAUGUUCGCAGUAACUAACCAUCAGCCUCGCUGUCAAUACGGCGUAACUGAUGGUAGUCAUCACGCAGACCA
rnacentral:precursor_RNA from 14 species